rnacentral:rRNA from 1 species
UACGGGGGGCGCAAGCGUUGUUCGGAUUUACUGGGCGUAAAGGGCGCGUAGGCGGCCAGCACAAGUCAGUUGUGAAAUCUCCGAGCUUAACUCGGAAAGGUCAACUGAUACUGUGCGGCUAGAGUGCGGAAGGGGCAACUGGAAUUCUUGGUGUAGCGGUGAAAUGCGUAGAUAUCAAGAGGAACACCUGCGGCGAAGGCGGGUUGCUGGGCCGACACUGACGCUGAUGCGCGAAAGCCAGGGGAGCGAACGGG